rnacentral:rRNA from 1 species
UACGGGAGGCAGCAGUGGGGAAUAUUGGACAAUGGGGGAAACCCUGAUCCAGCAAUGCCGCGUGGGUGAUGAAGGCCUUCGGGUUGUAAAGCCCUUUUGGCGGGGACGAUAAUGACGGUACCCGCAGAAUAAGCUCCGGCUAACUUCGUGCCAGCAGCCGCGGUAAUACGAAGGGGGCUAGCGUUGUUCGGAAUUACUGGGCGUAAAGCGCGCGCAGGCGGUUUCUCAAGUCAGUGGUGAAAGCCCCGGGCUCAACCUGGGAAUGGCGGUUGAAACUAGUCGACUCGAAUCUGGCAGAGGGGGGUGGAAUUCCCGGUGUAGCGGUGAAAUGUGUAGAGAUCGGGAGGAACACCGGUGGCGAAGGCGGGUCUCUGGGCAACUCCUGACGCUGAGGCGCGAAAGCGUGGGGAGCAAACGGGAUUAGAUACCCCGGUAGUCCUGGCCCUAAACGAUGAAUGCUUGGUGUGGCGGGUAUCGAUCCCUGCCGUGCCGCAGCUAACGCAUUAAGUCGUCCGCCUGGGGAGUACGGCCGCAAGGUUGAAACUUAAAGGAAUUGACG